rnacentral:rRNA from 1 species
AUGGCUAUUUUUGAUACGAUGCAAACGGUGACACCAGAUAUAUAUACAAUAUGCCUCGGAAUAGCCGCCUCCAUGGCGUCCUUCAUUCUGCUUGGAGGAGAACCCACCAAGCGUAUAGCAUUCCCUCACGCGAGGAUUAUGCUUCACCAACCUGCUAGUGCUUAUUAUCGGGCAAGGACACCAGAAUUUUUACUAGAAGUAGAAGAGUUACACAAAGUUCGCAAAAUGAUCACAAGGGUUUAUGCAGUAAGAACAGGCAAGCCUUUUUGGUUGUAUCCGAAGACAUGGAAAGGGAUGUUUUUAUGUCAGCAGAAGAAGCCAAAGCUUAUGGACUUGUCGAUAUUGUAG